UACAGAGGGGGCAAGCGUUAUUCGGAAUUAUUGGGCGUAAAGGGCGCGUAGGCGGCCUUGCAAGUGGCGGGUGAAAUCCCUCGGCUUAACCGAGGAACUGCCUGCCAGACUGCAAGGCUCGAGACCGGGAGAGGUGAGUGGAAUUCCCAGUGUAGCGGUGAAAUGCGUAGAGAUCGGGAGGAACACCUGUGGCGAAGGCGGCCGACUGGGCCGACCCUGACGCUGAGGCGCGAAGGCGUGGGGAGCGAACGGG
rnacentral:rRNA from 1 species